UACGUAGGGACCAAGCGUUGUUCGGAUUUACUGGGCGUAAAGGGCGCGUAGGCGGCGUGACAAGUCACUUGUGAAAUCUCUGGGCUUAACCCAGAACGGCCAAGUGAAACUGUUGUGCUAGAGUGCAGAAGGGGCAAUCGGAAUUCUCGGUGUAGCGGUGAAAUGCGUAGAUAUCGAGAGGAACACCAGAGGUGAAGGCGGGUUGCUGGGCUGACACUGACGCUGAGGCGCGAAAGCCAGGGGAGCAAACGGG
rnacentral:rRNA from 1 species